GAUUUCUGGCUUGAAACAUUUUGCCGGCCACGGUUUCGUGUGUUAGUGCUUGAUGUUCUGGCCAUCCUUCCAAUCGCUAUUGGCUUUUCUUCAUUGAGAGGUCAGUGGUAUUGGAUCUUUUACUUUGAAAAAAUUAGAGUGUUUCAAGCAGGCUUUAUGCUAUGAAUACAUUAGCAUGGAAUAAUAAUUUAGGACUUCGGUUCUAUUUUGUUGGUUUCUAGGACUGAAGUAAUGAUUGAUAGGGAUAGUUGGGGGUGCUAGUAUUCAGCGGCCAGAGGUGAAAUUCUCGGAUUCGCUGAAGACUAACUUAUGCGAAAGCAUU
rnacentral:rRNA from 1 species